UUUUUUUUUUUUACUAAGAAACAUAUACAAUUAAAUUACUCAGUGUUUAUAGUAUAUCUACAGUAAGAGGGAAAAAGGAUUUUUCAAAAAUGUAAACUAACUACAGUCGAAUGGCGAAUGGUGGAUAUACCACUAUACCACGUUCCAUGAAGUUUUGAAAUGUGUAUCCCGCGAUAUGUUUGAAAAUAUAGACGUACGUUUUGAACAUUAUGAUGAAUAAUGUAAAAGCGGUUACUAUGAAUAAUCAUAAUUAAUUUGAAUGAAUUCUAUUGAGACU